rnacentral:rRNA from 1 species
AACGAACGCUGGCGGCAUGCCUAACACAUGCAAGUCGAACGAGACCUUCGGGUCUAGUGGCGCACGGGUGCGUAACGCGUGGGAACCUGCCCUUAGGUUCGGAAUAACUCCCCGAAAGGGGUGCUAAUACCGGAUAAUGUCUUCGGACCAAAGAUUUAUCGCCUUUGGAUGGGCCCGCGUUGGAUUCGCUAGUUGGUAGGGUAAAAGCCUACCAAGGCGACGAUCCAUAGCUGGUCUGAGAGGAUGAUCAGCCACACUGGGACUGAGACACGGCCCAGACUCCUACGGGAGGCAGCAGUGGGGAAUAUUGGACAAUGGGCGAAAGCCUGAUCCAGCAAUGCCGCGUGAGUGAUGAAGGCCUUAGGGUUGUAAAGCUCUUUUACCCGGGAUGAUAAUGACAGUACCGGGAGAAUAAGCGCCGGCUAACUCCGUG